rnacentral:tRNA from 1 species
GCCUGGAUGGCUCAGUCGGUUGAGCAUCAGACUUUGGCUCAGGUCAUGAUCCUACUAUUCUUGGGUUUGAGUCCCACAUCAGGUU